GAGUUUGAUCCUGGCUCAGAUUGAACGCUGGCGGCAGGCCUAACACAUGCAAGUCGGGCGGUAGAGAGAAGCUUGCUUCUCUUGAGAGCGGCGGACGGGUGAGUAAUGCCUAGGAAUCUGCCUGGUAGUGGGGGAUAACGCUCGGAAACGGACGCUAAUACCGCAUACGUCCUACGGGAGAAAGCAGGGGACCUUCGGGCCUUGCGCUAUCAGAUGAGCCUAGGUCGGAUUAGCUAGUUGGUGAGGUAAUGGCUCACCAAGGCGACGAUCCGUAACUGGUCUGAGAGGAUGAUCAGUCACACUGGAACUGAGACACGGUCCAGACUCCUACGGGAGGCAGCAGUGGGGAAUAUUGGACAAUGGGCGAAAGCCUGAUCCAGCCAUGCCGCGUGUGUGAAGAAGGUCUUCGGAUUGUAAAGCACUUUAAGUUGGGAGGAAGGGCAGUAAAUUAAUACUUUGCUGUUUUGACGUUACCGACAGAAUAAGACACCGGCUAACUCUGUGCCAGCAGCCGG
rnacentral:rRNA from 1 species